rnacentral:rRNA from 1 species
AAAGGUAAGCUACUAAGAGCGAAUGGUGGAUGCCUUGACUGGUAAAGGCGAUGAAGGACGUACUAGACUGCGAUAAGCUACGGGGAGCUGUCAAGAAGCUUUGAUCCGUAGAUUUCCGAAUGGGGCAACCCAAUGUAUAGAGAUAUACAUUACCUAUAUAGGAGCGAACGAGGGGAAUUGAAACAUCUUAGUACCCUCAGGAAAAGAAAUCAAUAGAGAUUGCGUCAGUAGCGGCGAGCGAAAGCGCAAGAGGGCAAACCCAGUGCUUGCACUGGGGGUUGUAGGACUGCAAUGUGCAAGAGCUGAGUUUAGCAGAACAUUCUGGAAAGUAUAGCCAUAGAGGGUGAUAGUCCCGUAUGCGAAAAACAAAGCUUAGCUAGCAGUAUCCUGAGUAGGGCGGGACACGAGAAAUCCUGUCUGAAUCCGGGUCGACCACGAUCCAACCCUAAAUACUAAUACCAGAUCGAUAGUGCACAAGUACCGUGAGGGAAAGGUGAAAAGAACUGAGGUGAUCAGAGUGAAAUAGAACCUGAAACCAUUUGCUUACAAUCAUUCAGAGCCCUAUGUAGCAAUACAGGGUGAUGGACUGCCUUUUGCAUAAUGAGCCUGCGAGUUGUGGUGUCUGGCAAGGUUAAGCAAACGCGAAGCCGUAGCGAAAGCGAGUCUGAAUAGGGCGCUUAGUCAGAUGCUGCAGACCCGAAACGAAGUGAUCUAUCCAUGAGCAAGUUGAAGCUAGUGUAAGAACUAGUGGAGGACUGAACCCAUAGGCGUUGAAAAGCCCCGGGAUGACUUGUGGAUAGGGGUGAAAGGCCAAUCAAACUUCGUGAUAGCUGGUUCUCUCCGAAAUAUAUUUAGGUAUAGCGUUGUGUCGUAAUAUAAGGGGGUAGAGCACUGAAUGGGCUAGGGCAUACACCAAUGUACCAAACCCUAUCAAACUCCGAAUACCUUA